AUCUGUAAAUACAACACAAAGCUCCUCAUAGCCGAAUUACUUUGUUUCCCUUUGUACUCACAGACUCUUUGGUAGAAUAUUUUGAGAUAAGAUGGAAUUAGAAAAAACUUGUUUACUCAUAGCGAGGAAACAACAAAGACCCCGACAACAAUCCCCAUCUGGA